CAUUAGCGUAUAUUAAAGUUGUUGCAGUUAAAAGCUCGUAGUUGGAUGUCUGACAUGAUGAGCCUGGCCCGGCAGUCGCUUCGCGACUGGUUGUGUGCCGGUUUUUUAUAGGCCGGCUGCCAUGGUUCUCCCUUCGUGGUGAGAUCGGGCGGUCGGUUGCUCAUCGGUCAUCCUUAAUCAGAACCUCUCUACCAUUAAUUUGGCCGGGGAGACGAUGGUUAUCAUUUACUUUGAGAAAAUUAGAGUGUUUAAGGCAGACUUAUGUCGUGAAUACAUUAGCAUGGAAUAAUAAGAUAAGUCUUCGGCAGCAAUUUGGCCCGUUAACGCGGCGUCAGAUUCGUCGUCUAUUUUGUUGGUUUCUAGAGCUGAAGAAAUGAUUGAUAGGGCUAGUUGGGGGCGCUCGUAUUGCUUGGCCAGAGGUGAAAUUCUCGGAUUCAAGUAAGACGAACUAAUGCGAAAGCAUCCGUCAAGGAUAUCCUCUUUAAUCAAGAACGAAAGUU
rnacentral:rRNA from 1 species